rnacentral:misc_RNA from 1 species
GUCUCAAUGAGUUAUUGUUAUGAAAGACAAGAAUGAACUAGUGCUACAGCUUAUGCUGCACCUUGCAUAUAAGGCUGAUUCAGGGAGUUGGGUUGCAAGGACAAGGUCUAUGCAUACUCACUCAAAAAGUCAUCAGCAAAUCCAUAACCUAAAUCAACCUGUCCUCUAAUCCUAACUUAAUUUCAAUACGAUAUAAAAUUAUUAAUCUAACAUGCUAGAUCAAAUAGGUCGCCACAGAUACAAGUAUUCAAGAAAAACAAAAUUAAGCAGAACAAGUUUUCA